CCAGGGUCUGGGGAUGAGAAAAUUCAUAAGCUCUCAAAGUUAGGAGGAGGUCGAAUAUUGAGUCGAGAUGAAGAUUAUUAAGAUUUGAUAUCUUGAUAUUCAAUCUAUAUUAAGCCCACAGCGAGAUCCAUGACAACAAACAGAGUCCAACAAGUCCAAGAUCAGUCUAAACAGAGUCCAGAUGAAGAAGUUACAGUCAAAGAAAAUCUAUACGG
rnacentral:lncRNA from 1 species